rnacentral:ncRNA from 1 species
ACCGUGCGGUGUCGUCUCGGCGACUUGCAUGGAAAGCUAAGAGGGAAGCCGGUGUGAUACCGGCGCUGUGCCCGCAACUGUAAGCUGGGAGCCCUGAACCACUUGUGUCACUGGCGCGCGCCCUAUUGGCGUUUGCUGGGAAGACGGUUCAGGCGUGACGAUCAGCAAGCCAGGAGACCUGCCAUCGCGUCGUUCGUCCG